rnacentral:misc_RNA from 1 species
AAUAUUUAAUUUAUAAAAAUCUUCUCAACACCAUAAACUGCUGAAGGUUUUAGCGGUUUUAAAAAGCUUCAAAAACCCUCAAAAACCUUACCUUCCCCAUAAAACCUCCCUCCCAAACAAAUCUAUAUGUUUUAAUUACAUUAGGAAACCUUACCCUACCUAUAAAACCUUGCUCCCAAACGAAGUGAAACAGGAUAGCUACAUCUGGAACCACCCAACAAAUGCAAAUCUAGAAGAAAACUCAGCAUAGCAUUGGAAAGGAGGAUUGAAGAAAAGAAAACACAGCAUCAAAUCGUUUAAAAAAAAAUUCAGAAUUUCACAAACUUAUUGAGCAAACAAACGCACAGAGGAUUCAAUAAAAACCAAUUAAAGAGAAACAUAUAGCAAUAGAGAUCAAACAAAAGUAUGGGAAUAUCAGGAUUACCCUUAUCUCCUUGAAGCAAAGUGU